UACAGAGGGUGCAAGCGUUAAUCGGAAUUACUGGGCGUAAAGGGCGCGUAGGUGGGCUGAUAAGUUAUAUGUGAAAGCCCCGGGCUCAACCUGGGAAUGGCGUAUGAUACUGUUAGUCUAGAGUAGAGUAGAGGGAAGCGGAAUUUCCGGUGUAGCGGUGAAAUGCGUAGAUAUCGGAAGGAACACCAGUGGCGAAGGCGGCUUCCUGGACUCAUACUGACACUGAGGCGCGAAGGCGUGGGGAGCAAACAGG
rnacentral:rRNA from 1 species